rnacentral:tRNA from 2 species
GAGUCGAUGCCCGAGUGGUUAAUGGGGAUGGAUUGUAAAUCCAUUGAUUUUAUCUUCGCUGGUUCAAAUCCAGUUCGACUCA